AUUUGAUAUUUUAUGUACCUAUAAUAAUGCUUAAGAAAGCGUGAAACAAGGUGAGGAUAAACCAUUUAAACAAUUAAUAAUUACCUACAAUGAAUAAAUAGAAAAAAAAGACAUGAUACUGCUGAUGGGUGUGCCACUGUUGUAGAUCGGAAGUUGGGAUAGAUGGAAAUUUUUAUAUAUUUGUAUGGAACGAUUAAUCACUGCAAAUGAAAAACGAUUCUGAGCGGAGCUCGGUUAAUAGUAUUACUUUUUCAACAAUUUGUGUUUUCAACAAUGAUUAUUUAAAAACAACAAUAAAAUAAAAAAUAAAUUUGAU